CUGCGCCGCCUAUUUCUCCGAUAGGCUCUAGCAAUUGUUGAUAGCAAGAUCUUGUUCAUCAGCAAGCUUCUGGGUUCGGAGGUGUUGAAGCUUGCGAUUCCAAGAUCUUGAUCAUCAGCAAGAAGGUCCUGGUGUUUGAAUUCGUAAAAUCUUUAUGAUCGGAGCCUCUCGCCUUGAUUUGAAGAAGAUCUUGAUGAUUUGAAGAGAGGGGUUGGGUUGGGUUGGGUUGGGUUGUGGAGAUCUGUAGUUUCCCCCUCCCCUCACAACCUGCUGCUGAAGUAAGUUUCUUUUCAUUAUCCGGCGGAAGAAUAUAUCACAACCUAUGGACACCACCACCUCUCGUAAUUAUUGGCAUGAUAGGGUCUUGAAUGAUUUUGCGGUGAUGAAGACGAGUUAUGACAGUUUAUUUGAUUCUAUGAUGAUGA